rnacentral:rRNA from 1 species
UUGCAGGCUGCAACCCGCCUGCAUGAAGUUGGAAUCGCUAGUAAUCGCGGAUCAGCAUGCCGCGGUGAAUACGUUCCCGGGCCUUGUACACACCGCCCGUCACACCAUGAGAGUCGGGAACACCCGAAGUCCGUAGCCUGACCGCAAGGGGGGCGCGGCCGAAGGUGGGUUCGAUAAUUGGGGUGAAGUCGUAACAAGGUAAC